AGGAAACUCUCUCGUGUUUGGUUCACUGUUGGGCUAUCCUUCUUCAUAGUGGUGGUAGUUCUGCUCGUCGAGACUAGUAUGACAAUCAUCUUCAGACAUAUUCUCGGAAAUCUCUUCCACGGUUUGAACUGAUGGACCCGCAUAGCUAGGCGAAGCAGUAUUACUGAUUUGCAAGCUUCGAGGCGCAAAUGAGAACAUCUUGGAAUCAAGCAGAUUUUGUACCUUGCUUUUG
rnacentral:lncRNA from 1 species